UUUCCGUAGGUGAACCUGCGGAAGGAUCAUUACAGUGUUCUCUGCCCUCACGGGUAGAAACGCCCACCCUUGUAUAUUAUAUCUUUGUUGCUUUGGCAGGCCGCCCUCGGGCACCGGCUCCGGCUGGAUCGCGCCUGCCAGAGGAAACCCAAACUCUGAAUGUUAGUGUCGUCUGAGUACUAUCUAAUAGUUAAAACUUUCAACAACGGAUCUCAUGGUUCUG
rnacentral:misc_RNA from 1 species